rnacentral:tmRNA from 1 species
CCACGCGAGCUGACCUGGUCGCAAGGUUCCCGAUAAUGGUUGUGAACCUUCUUCUUGAAGGCCUUCUGGACGGCGGUUCGAUUCCGCCCAGGUCCGCACUUGGGGAAAGGCAUUACGGGAAAGCGCUGAACUUGCAAUUGUUGCCUGGAUCACCUGCUCCUUCGCGGUUGGCCUUUUCGCCAACGCCCUGGGACGCUCCGGCGCCACAUGGAUUAUCUUCUCAUUGAUCCUGAGCCCGUCGCUUGGGCUGAUGUUCGUCGCCGUGCUCGAGAAGAUAGCAUUUACUUCGAUUUAGUUUUAACGAAAAGUUCGCAUUGGCCGCCUAACAGCCGCCUUGGGUUGUAACUGACCUCGAAACAGAAAAGUUACUGACAAGGGCUCCUUCGGGGGCCCUUGUUCA